rnacentral:lncRNA from 1 species
UACACACCUAAUCUAAUUUUGAUGCGAAACCAAACACAAGCCUUUCUGAACCUAAAAUCAAUACUAACUCAAAAUUUUGAUCAAUUACGUCCACAUUUGGCUCUCAAGAACACGUUAGAACACUUAUCGAAUCGAAACAAUAAUUAAAUGAUGUCACACAAAUCAAUUUCCUAAACAUUUCCUUCGCAAAUAAAAUAAUUAAGCAACCCUGAAUAGCAUAACAACCAAACAAAACUUAUAUCUUUACCCAAAUCACGAAUACGCACAAGAUCGAAACUGCGAGGAAAGAAUCGAUAAUAACGAAAAUUAUAAGUAGCAUUGUUUUAGUACGUAGGAUAAAAAGAACAUAAUUGAAAUCAACAGAGCAAAAAGGAAGAAAAACAGAAAGAAAAAACGACAGAAAGUGGGAUGGGGAAAACGUGAGAAACGUGAGAGAGGAAAGGGUAUUUUUUUGGAAAAAAAUAAUAAUCAAAUAAUAAUCAGAUAUUUUUUUUAAAAAUACAACACAAUCCCAAAAAAACCUAUCCAACCCAAUAUUCAGAUAUCCUAUCAGACUACCCAAAGAUAGAAUUCAAUUUAACCACAACCACUACAUGGGUGGUUCAACAAAAAUAGCAAAAAUUUUGCUACUUUGCUCACGCAGAUAUUCGAACACAUGGCCAUAGGGUAAGCUAACACCUUAUCACUGAACUAACAGACUCAUUCUAUCAUAAGUUAAACGAAAAUAAUAUGUAAGCCAAAUAAACAGGGAUAGGGCUAGAACCAAGGCGGUAACUAAUAGGUUCUCUCCCCAUUUUCCUUCCUAUCUCCAUCUAACCCCUUAAGGUUUUUCCCACAAUCAUGCUUCAUGCUUAUGCAACCAUGGCAUACUUAGACAGUAUAGAACAUAAUAGCAGGUUUGGAGUCUGGAACUCACCUGAAUCCUUAUCGUUCCCUUAGCUUAUUCCUUUUUUCGAACACUAGAGCUUCCAUUCUCCAGAUAGUAGUCGCUUGCUAGUUUCCCUACUUUUCAGGUCCAUCUUCAUAAAGUCUACUUCAUGCAGAACCUUCCAUGGCUACUCUUCUUCGAGCCACUGAAGAAAAUGAAGAACGAGAGAAAAUAAAUCAAAAUCGGGAAGAAAAUCAUCCCUGGGAGCCAUCUCCCAGCUAUUUUAGCUCUUCUCGCGCUAUCACUAACCUUAGGAGAACCGUCCAUUGUUAU